rnacentral:lncRNA from 1 species
CAUAUGCGCACCAUCACACAUGGCAAUACCAUGAACAUGCCCGCAUAGGAGUCUCAGCAUUAACAAGUGCUUGGCAGUGCUUUCCAACAAAUUUGUGCAGCAUUACUGCACAAACCCGUGCACCAGAGACACUUUCAAACUUUUCUAGGUGUCCAAAAAAUGUCCCAAUUGCACACAUCUACUGCAGAACCACCAACAGCGACAACUUAGUGUCACGCACCAAUG